rnacentral:rRNA from 1 species
UACGUAGGGCGCAAGCGUUGUCCGGAAUUAUUGGGCGUAAAGAGCUCGUAGGCGGCUUGUCGCGUCGUCCGUGAAAACUCACAGCUCAACUGUGAGCUUGCGGUCGAUACGGGCAGGCUUGAGUUCGGUAGGGGAGACUGGAAUUCCUGGUGUAGCGGUGAAAUGCGCAGAUAUCAGAGGAACACCGGUGGCGAAGGCGGGUCUCUGGACAGGUACUGACGCUGAGACGCGAAAGCGUGGGUAGCAAACAGG